GACGGUGUGGAGGGAACGAGGGGAAGUGAAACAUCUCAGUACCCUCAGGAAGAGAAAACAAUAGUGAUUCCGUGAGUAGUGGCGAGCGAAAGCGGAUGAGGCUAAACCAUGCACAUGUGAUACCGGGUAGGGGUUGUGUGUGUGGUGUUGUGGGGUUCAUCUUUCCAGCUCUACCUGGCUGGACAGCAGUGAGAAAGUGUCGUGUUAGGUGAAGUGGCCUGGAACGGUCCGCCGGAGAGGGUGAGAGUCCUGUAACCGAAAACACGGUGCCUGUUGUGAUGGAUACCCGAGUAGCAGCGAGCCCGUGAAAUUCGCUGUGAAUCUGCCGAGACCACUCGGUAAGCCUAAAUACUACCUUGCGACCGAUAGCGGACAAGUACCGUGAGGGAAAGGUGAAAAGUACCCCGGGAGGGGAGUGAAAUAGUACCUGAAACCGUGUGCUUACAAUCCGUCAGAGCCCUCGUUGUGGGGUGAUGGCGUGCCUUUUGAAGAAUGAGCCUGCGAGUCAGUGCUCGGUGGCGAGGUUAACCCGUUGUGGGGUAGCCGUAGCGAAAGCGAGUCCGAAU
rnacentral:rRNA from 1 species